rfam:Perkinsus marinus ATCC 50983 gcontig_1104296609918, whole genome shotgun sequence.
GUCACUUUAGCUUAGUGGCAGAGCGUCUGCUUUGGUAGCAGAAGGUCGUCAGUUCGAUCCUGGCAAGUGGCU